rnacentral:rRNA from 1 species
UACGGAGGGGGCUAGCGUUGUUCGGAAUUACUGGGCGUAAAGCGCACGUAGGCGGCUUUGUAAGUUAGAGGUGAAAGCCCGGGGCUCAACUCCGGAAUUGCCUUUAAGACUGCAUCGCUAGAAUUGUGGAGAGGUAAGUGGAAUUCCGAGUGUAGAGGUGAAAUGCGUAGAUAUCAGGAGGAACACCUGUGGUGUAGACAGCUUACUGGACCACUUCUGACGCUGAGACACGAAAGCGUGGGUAGCAAACAGG